AUUGUUGCAGGUGGGACACUGUGAUGGCGCGACACCUGGCUUUUCUGGAUCUUAUCUCCUUUAAUUACAGCAGCAGCUCGGAAGAUGAAAAUGAAGUCGUUUCUACUAACAGAAAGCGCCGAAGACGAAAUAAUAGUGCCAAAGAUGUGAGUCCAGGUGGGAGGAAAAUGCAAGGAAAUGUGACACAGGAAACCAGGGUUUCAGCUUCAGAGAAGAAUGAAGAUUCAUGUCAGGACUCUGUGGCUCGACUUCCUCUGCCUGCCUCCGUGAUGGAGAUGUUCAGAGACUCAGAAGAGCAGCACAUAGAUGACAGAUCUCAACAUGGAGGACGACUCAGGUCUUUCCAACACGAGAGAGGCAACUGGGCUACUUAUGUCUAUCUACCAUAUGAUCCUGAAGACGUGUUCCUGGAGUUGCUGGAUGAGCUGCGGGUUUGUGCAGCGGCUCAUGGCGUCACCUUGACCCGGGCAGAAGAGUUUCACAUCAGCCUCUCUCAGACAGUGGUCCUGCGACACCACUGGAUUCAGCCAUUUGUUCAGUCGCUGCGUUCUGCACUGACAACAUGCAGGGGGUUUGUAUGUUUGGCACAUAAACUGAAGGUGUACUCCAAUCAAGAAAAAACAAGGACUUUUCUCGGUAUGGAAAUCUCUACAGGUCACACGCAGCUUCUCGAGGUUGUGAAAAGUGUGGACGAAGUCAUGGAAGAGUUCAACCUAAGCACUUUCUAUGAGGAUCCUUCGUUUCACUUGACUCUGGCCUGGUGUGUCGGUGACGUGACUGAGAAACUGCAGCAUGCGUGUUUAUCAGAGUUGCAGUGUCUCAUGGACAGCCACGAAGAUGGCCCUUUCCAGAUAAGGCUGAACUGCAAGGAGCUACGCUGUAAAACUGGGAAUAAAUUCUUUCUGUUCCCACUGCAAUGAUUGAUGGUAGUUCAGAGGAUUUUAUAGUAAUGCCUUCAGACACUCCAGACAAUCAGAGUAGCCUUCCUGAAGUUUGUUAGGAAGUUGGGGUCAGAGCGCAGAGUCAGCCAUGAUACGGUGUUCCUGGAGCAGAGAUGUUUAAGAGCCUUGCUCAAGGGCCCAACUGUGGCAGCUUGGCGGUUCAAGCCUCAGCACUGCCAGGUUUUUGCUGGCUGUAGAAAAUAUAUUAAAGCACCCGAUUUCAAUAUAUUUUAUAUUUCAGUGUCACUGGGUGAAAAGUCUGAAUGAUUCAACUUGGGAUCGAUAUUUCAUGGAUGAUCACACGGAGACUAAAAACUAUAACUUCUCAAAAACAGUAUAUGCCCAAGUCUUACCUGGAUACUGUAGAUUUGUACCCAAGACCUGCUACUGUAAUUAUAAAGACUGUCCUGUGCUCAUCCGAGGAAUAUUAUUCCUAAUCUGCUCACGCUGAACAUGUUUUCAAUACAGACACUAAUUCUCAUUGAUUUUCUUCUUCUACAUCUCUAUACUGUAAUGAUUCAUAAUCCCACUAUCCCAUGUCACACAGAAGAGACAGUCUGGUUCCUCUUCAGGUAUCUUCAUGUCAUCUCAGGAAGAUCUCCCUUGCCACUGUCAUGUCUGGCUUGAUUUCUACAAAGCUCCUUUGUGACAAUGACAACAUUUACAUGCUCAUCAAUAUUUCUAUAUUAAUCAGAAUUUGGCAAUAUUUGAAUUAGUGUUGAUUUAAGACAAUAGCCUGAUUCCUCAAAUUCUGAUAUAAUAUCGAAUAUACCUGUUUUAAUGGGAAAUAUGUUACAUGUAAACACCUUAUUCAGAAAAUCCACUGAAAGGAGAUGAAAGUUGCAUGCUCAGUCCACAAGGAAUUGUGGGUAGCAACGGCAGCAUCUUGAAUCUCCUGGGAAAUAACAGCGGGAAAGGGAAAGCGCAGGUGUAGCUCGCUAUACUUACAACAACCGUGUAUACAGGAAUAUUCCUAUGCCCGUACGCAUAUAAACAUCGUAUUUAGAAUAUGGCAGCAACCCGAAUAUAGACCUUAAACAGAAUUUGAUGUGCAUGUAAACGUAACCCAUGUCUUUUCCAAUCUGUGCAUCAGACAGAAGCUGGGACUCGAUCAAAACCGAAUCUAUACAUGGGUUUCUGGGUCAGUAAAGUCUGAGAUCACAUGCUUCUUUUUUAUUACUAGUGUACUACAAUUGUAUGUAUGAUGACUUCAUCUGUGUCUCUGUGCAUCAGUCUCGGAGAAGGAGGCAUUUAUUCUGUAGCUGUCAGUCUCAGGGAUUGAGGCAUGACAUUAAAUCAACUCUAAAUCAUAUCAUAUCGAAUCACUGGCUGCUUAACAUGCAUCACUCGUGCAUCAGUCAUCAUGUGCUGAGAUGUUCAUAUCAGUAUGUGAUUUGCUGCAAUAAACAGACAUUAUCAUCAGUUUCAAGCUAAAUUUAGAGGAACUGGCUCUUCCCUGUACUGUUAACAGUGAAAACCUCGCUUUUCGCAACAUCCGACACAAUGAAACUGAGGCAAAGAUUUGUUUCUGCUUAUAAAUGGCAGGUUCAGCUGUGCUGUAAAUACACCAACAACACUUAACUGCAUCAACUAAACUAAAACACAGAUGAAAUGCAGGCCGUUAUUUUUACGGACAAGCUCAAGUUUUCUUCUUUUCGCCUUCCAAAGGGAGAUUUUUAUAUAUAUAUGAGAGAGAGAUGUAUAGAAUAGGAACCAGUGCGUCAUACACAUUUAAUCAUUCAUUCAUUUAUUUACAAUUGACAUUACCAAAUACAGUUUAAGGAACUUGCUUAAGGGCCUCUAUGAUGGCAGCUUUGGAAGUGCUUCUAAUUAAUAGCCCAAAGCCUUAACUGCUGAGCCACCACUACCUUCCUGCAAAACCUGGUAUUGUAAAACACCUGAGAAAAUGAGUCAGACAGAGGACAGGUUAACCUUAAAAUCCACAUUGUUCAACCAGUGUAGAAUACAAACACUCUUGACAAGUUUAAAAAAGGCACAACAAGAGCAUUUUCUCUUUGUAACUAAAAUGAGCAAUACUGAUUUGUAAGGGCUCAUGGGAUCACAGUCACAGAACCAAGGAAAUGGCAUUCUAGGACAGCACUGAGUAAAGCUGUUCAUCAAUAAUACAGUUAUCACAUCCCUUUAACCCACCAAAAAUAAAUUUAAUAAAACAACAAAUCAAUAAAAUGGUGGUAAAACAUGCAAGAAACCCAAAUACUUAAUGUUGAAAUGAGUCCCGUUUGACCUCCAGAACCCACUACUUUACCAGAAUAACAGCAAAAAUAACGACCGAUAGCUACAGAAACUGAACAAUCAUUUCUCUUGAUUCUUAAACCAACAAUUAGGCAAGUACUUGGGCAGCACAUCUGACUUGCAAUAAAUGCAUUAAGGGCACAUUUGGAACAAAGAGG